rnacentral:rRNA from 1 species
CAAUAGCGUAUAUUAACGUUGUUGCAGUUAAAAAGCUCGUAGUUGGAUUUCGGGUGGGACGCAGCGGUCUCGCAUUGCGUUUGUACUGCUGCAGCCCUCCUUCUUGCCGGGGGCGGCCUCUCGGACUUCACUGUCUGGGGGUCAGAAUCGGCGAUGUUACUUUGAGUAAAUUAGAGUGUUCAAAGCAAGCUUACGCUCUGAAUAUAAUAGCAUGGGAUAACACGACAGGACUCUGGCCUAUCGUGUUGGUCUAUAGGACCAGAGUAAUGAUUAAGAGGGACAGUCGGGGGCAUUCGUAUUCCGUUGUCAGAGGUGAAAUUCUUGGAUUUACGGAAGACGAACAUCUGCGAAAGCAUUUGCCAAGGAUGUUUUCAUUGA